rnacentral:misc_RNA from 1 species
GAUGAAGAACGCAGUGAAAUGCGAUAAGUAGUGUGAAUUGCAGAAUUCAGUGAAUCAUCGAAUCUUUGAACGCACAUUGCGCCCUUUGGUAUUCCAAAGGGCAUGCCUGUUCGAGCGUCAUUUGUACCCUCAAGCUUUGCUUGGUGUUGGGCGUCUUGUCUCUCUCCCGAGACUCGCCUUAAAAUCAUUGGCAGCCGGCCUACUGGUUUCGGAGCGCAGCACAUUAUUUGCGCUCUUGUCCAGCCGCGGUCGCGCGUCCAUGAAGCUUCUUUCAAACUUUUGACCUCGGAUCAGGUAGGGAUACCCGCUGAACUUAAGCAUAUCAAUAAGCGGAGGA